rnacentral:rRNA from 1 species
CGAAUGGGGAAACCCAGUGUGAUUCGUCACACUAUCAUUAACUGAAUCCAUAGGUUAAUGAGGCGAACCGGGGGAACUGAAACAUCUAAGUACCCCGAGGAAAAGAAAUCAACCGAGAUUCCCCCAGUAGCGGCGAGCGAACGGGGAGGAGCCCAGAGCCUGAAUCAGCAUGUGUGUUAGUGGAAGCGUCUGGAAAGGUGCGCGAUACAGGGUGACAGCCCCGUACACAAAAGCGCAUGUGCUGUGAGCUCGAUGAGUAGGGCGGGACACGUGAUAUCCUGUCUGAAUAUGGGGGGACCAUCCUCCAAGGCUAAAUACUCCUGACUGACCGAUAGUGAACCAGUACCGUGAGGGAAAGGCGAAAAGAACCCCGGCGAGGGGAGUGAAAAAGAACCUGAAACCGUGUACGUACAAGCAGUGGGAGCACAGGUUUACCUGUGUGACUGCGUACCUUUUGUAUAAUGGGUCAGCGACUUAUAUUCUGUAGCAAGGUUAACCGUAUAGGGGAGCCGGAGGGAAACCGAGUCUUAACCGGGCGUUAAGUUGCAGGGUAUAGACCCGAAACCCGGUGAUCUAGCCAUGGGCAGGUUGAAGGUUGGGUAACACUAACUGGAGGACCGAACCGACUAAUGUUGAAAAAUUAGCGGAUGACCUGUGGCUGGGGGUGAAAGGCCAAUCAAACCGGGAGAUAGCUGGUUCUCCCCGAAAGCUAUUUAGGUAGCGCCUCGUGAAUUCAUCUCCGGGGGUAGAGCACUGUUUCGGCUAGGGGGCCAUCCCGGCUUACCAACCCGAUGCAAACUGCGAAUACCGGAGAAUGUUAUCACGGGAGACACACGGCGGGUGCUAACGUCCGUCGUGAAGAGGGAAACAACCCAGACCGCCAGCUAAGGUCCCAAAGUCAUGGUUAAGUGGGAAACGAUGUGGGAAGGCCCAGACAGCCAGGAUGUUGGCUUAGAAGCAGCCAUCAUUUAAAGAAAGCGUAAUAGCUCACUGGUCGAGUCGGCCUGCGCGGAAGAUGUAACGGGGCUAAACCAUGCACCGAAGCUGCGGCAGCGAACGUAUCACCCAAGACAACUUUACGGAGUUGACGAUUGACGGAGCGAAGCGACGUCAAAGCGUUCAUUAAAGUCGAGUUGGCUUAGGGAUACGUUCGUUGGGUAGGGGAGCGUUCUGUAAGCCUGUGAAGGUGUGUCGUGAGGCAUGCUGGAGGUAUCAGAAGUGCGAAUGCUGACAUAAGUAACGAUAAAGCGGGUGAAAAGCCCGCUCGCCGGAAGACCAAGGGUUCCUGUCCAACGUUAAUCGGGGCAGGGUGAGUCGACCCCUAAGGCGAGGCCGAAAGGCGUAGUCGAUGGGAAACGGGUUAAUAUUCCCGUACUUGGUGUUACUGCGAAGGGGGGACGGAGAAGGCUAUGUUGGCCGGGCGACGGUUGUCCCGGUUUAAGCGUGUAGGUGUGUGUUCCAGGUAAAUCCGGUUCACUUUAACACUGAGGCGUGACGACGAGGCACUACGGUGCUGAAGCAACAAAUGCCCUGCUUCCAGGAAAAGCCUCUAAGCAUCAGGUAACACGAAAUCGUACCCCAAACCGACACAGGUGGUCAGGUAGAGAAUACCAAGGCGCUUGAGAGAACUCGGGUGAAGGAACUAGGCAAAAUGGUGCCGUAACUUCGGGAGAAGGCACGCUGACACGUAGGUGAAGUGAUUUACUCAUGGAGCUGAAGUCAGUCGAAGAUACCAGCUGGCUGCAACUGUUUAUUAAAAACACAGCACUGUGCAAACACGAAAGUGGACGUAUACGGUGUGACGCCUGCCCGGUGCCGGAAGGUUAAUUGAUGGGGUCAGCGCAAGCGAAGCUCCUGAUCGAAGCCCCGGUAAACGGCGGCCGUAACUAUAACGGUCCUAAGGUAGCGAAAUUCCUUGUCGGGUAAGUUCCGACCUGCACGAAUGGCGUAAUGAUGGCCAGGCUGUCUCCACCCGAGACUCAGUGAAAUUGAACUCGCUGUGAAGAUGCAGUGUACCCGCGGCAAGACGGAAAGACCCCGUGAACCUUUACUAUAGCUUGACACUGAACAUUGAGCCUUGAUGUGUAGGAUAGGUGGGAGGCUUUGAAGUGUGGACGCCAGUCUGCAUGGAGCCGACCUUGAAAUACCACCCUUUAAUGUUUGAUGUUCUAACGUGGACCCGUAAUCCGGGUUGCGGACAGUGUCUGGUGGGUAGUUUGACUGGGGCGGUCUCCUCCUAAAGAGUAACGGAGGAGCACGAAGGUUGGCUAAUCCUGGUCGGACAUCAGGAGGUUAGUGCAAUGGCAUAAGCCAGCUUGACUGCGAGCGUGACGGCGCGAGCAGGUGCGAAAGCAGGUCAUAGUGAUCCGGUGGUUCUGAAUGGAAGGGCCAUCGCUCAACGGAUAAAAGGUACUCCGGGGAUAACAGGCUGAUACCGCCCAAGAGUUCAUAUCGACGGCGGUGUUUGGCACCUCGAUGUCGGCUCAUCACAUCCUGGGGCUGAAGUAGGUCCCAAGGGUAUGGCUGUUCGCCAUUUAAAGUGGUACGCGAGCUGGGUUUAGAACGUCGUGAGACAGUUCGGUCCCUAUCUGCCGUGGGCGCUGGAGAACUGAGGGGGGCUGCUCCUAGUACGAGAGGACCGGAGUGGACGCAUCACUGGUGUUCGGGUUGUCAUGCCAAUGGCACUGCCCGGUAGCUAAAUGCGGAAGAGAUAAGUGCUGAAAGCAUCUAAGCACGAAACUUGCCCCGAGAUGAGUUCU